CCCUUAGAUGUCCUGGGCCGCACGCGCGCUACACUGAUGCAUUCAACGAGUAAUUAUUCCUUGGCCGAGAGGCCUGGGUAAUCUUUUAAACGUGCAUCGUGAUAGGGAUAGAUUAUUGAAAUUAUUAAUCUUGAACGAGGAAUUCCUAGUAAACGCAGAUCAUCAAUCUGCAUUGAUUACGUCCCUGCCCUUUGUACACACCGCCCGUCGCACCUACCGAUUGGAUGGUCCGGUGAAGCCUCGGGAUUGUGGUUCUUGCCGCUUUAUUGUGGCGUGACCGCGAGAACUUGUCUAAACCUUAUCAUCUAGAGGAAGGUGAAGUCGUAACA
rnacentral:rRNA from 1 species